GAUGAACGCUAGCUAUAGGCUUAACACAUGCAAGUCGAGGGGAAACGGCAUUAUGUGCUUGCACAUUUUGGACGUCGACCGGCGCACGGGUGAUUACCGCGUAUCCAACCUGCCGUUUACUUGGGGAUACCCCGUUGAAAGACGGCCUAAUACCCGAUGUAAUUCAUUGAUGGCAUCAGAUAUGAAUAAAAGAUUAAUGGGUAAAGGAUGGGGAUGCGUUUGAUUAGCUUGUUGGUGAGGUAACGGCUCACCAAGGAGACGAUCAGUAGGGGUGCUGAGAGGCAGCUCCACCGCAUUGGAGAUGAGACACGGUCCCCACUGGUACGGGCGGCAGGAGUGGGGUAUACUAGGGACGCAGCGCAAGUCUGAACCAGCCAAGUAGAGUGAAGGAAGACUGCCCUAUUGGUGGUCAACUACUUUUAUACGAGAAUAAUUUGAUACACGCGUGCCUUAUUGACUGUAUCGUAUGAAUAAGGACCGGCUAAUUCCGUG
rnacentral:rRNA from 1 species